GGGGCCUUAGCUCAGUUGGUAGAGCACCGCCUUUGCAAGGCGGGUGUCAGGGGUUCGAUUCCCCUAGGCUCCAC
rnacentral:tRNA from 38 species